rnacentral:rRNA from 1 species
ACGGGAGGCAGCAGUGGGGGAUAUUGCACAAUGGGGGAAACCCUGAUGCAGCGACGCCGCGUGAGUGAUGAAGUAUUUCGGUAUGUAAAGCUCUAUCAGCAGGGAGGAAAAUGACGGUACCUGACUAAGAAGCACCGGCUAAAUACGUGCCAGCAGCCGCGGUAAUACGUAUGGUGCAAGCGUUAUCCGGAUUUACUGGGUGUAAAGGGAGCGUAGACGGCAUAGCAAGCCAGAUGUGAAAGGUGGGGGCUCAACCCCCAAGCUGCAUUUGGAACUGUUAAGCUAGAGUAUCGGAGAGGUAAGUGGAAUUCCUAGUGUAGCGGUGAAAUGCGUAGAUAUUAGGAGGAACACCGGCGGCGAAGGCGGCUUACUGGACUGUAACUGACGUUGAGGCUCGAAAGCGUGGGGAGCAAACAGGAUUAGAUACCCUGGUA